CCUACGGGUGGCUGCAGUGAGGAAUAUUGGUCAAUGGACGAGAGCCUGAACCAGCCAAGUAGCGUGAAGGAUGACUGCCCUACGGGUCGUAAACCUCUUUUAUACAGGAAUAACACGAUCCACGUGUGCCUUUCUGCAGGUACUUUACGAAUAAGGACCGGCUAAUUCCGUGCCAGCAGCCGCGGUAAUACGGAGGACCCGAGCGUUAUCCGGAUUUAUUGGGCUUAAAGGGAGCGUAGGUGGGUUGUUAAGUCAGCUGUGAAAGUCGGCGGCUCAACCGUAAAAUUGCAGUUGAUACUGGCAGUCUUGAGUACAGAAGAGGUAGGCGGAAUUCGUGGUGUAGCGGUGAAAUGCAUAGAUAUCACGAGGAACCCCGAUUGCGAAGGCAGCUUGCUAGGGUGUGACUGACGCUGAGGCUCGAAGGUGUGGGUAUCAAACAGGAUUAGAUACCCGAGUAGUC
rnacentral:rRNA from 1 species